GGGUUGUGAGGUUAAGCGACCAAGCGUACACGGUGGAUGCCCUGGCAGUCAGAGGCGAUGAAGGACGUGCUAAUCUGCGAAAAGCGCCGGUAAGGUGAUAUGAACCGUUAUAACCGGCGAUGUCCGAAUGGGGAAACCCAGUGUGACUCGUCACACUAUCAUUAACUGAAUCCAUAGGUUAAUGAGGCGAACCGGGGGAACUGAAACAUCUAAGUACCCCGAGGAAAAGAAAUCAACCGAGAUUCCCCCAGUAGCGGCGAGCGAACGGGGAGGAGCCCAGAGCCUGAAUCAGCAUGUGUGUUAGUGGAAGCGUCUGGAAAGGCGCGCGAUACAGGGUGACAGCCCCGUACACAAAAGCGCAUGUGCUGUGAGCUCGAUGAGUAGGGCGGGACACGUGGUAUCCUGUCUGAAUAUGGGGGGACCAUCCUCCAAGGCUAAAUACUCCUGACUGACCGAUAGUGAACCAGUACCGUGAGGGAAAGGCGAAAAGAACCCCGGCGAGGGGAGUGAAACAGAACCUGAAACCGUGUACGUACAAGCAGUGGGAGCCCCACCACUAAGCCAGUGGUGAACUCCACAUACGCAUCCUUUGCGGAAGAUGCGGUUAACGGAGCGAAAGCGACGUUCAACCUAAAAAGAAGCAGAGGGGGCUUAGUGGUGGGGUGACUGCGUACCUUUUGUAUAAUGGGUCAGCGACUUAUAUUCUGUAGCAAGGUUAACCGUAUAGGGGAGCCGGAGGGAAACCGAGUCUUAAUUGGGCGUUAAGUUGCAGGGUAUAGACCCGAAACCCGGUGAUCUAGCCAUGGGCAGGUUGAAGGUUGGGUAACACUAACUGGAGGACCGAACCGACUAAUGUUGAAAAAUUAGCGGAUGACCUGUGGCUGGGGGUGAAAGGCCAAUCAAACCGGGAGAUAGCUGGUUCUCCCCGAAAGCUAUUUAGGUAGCGCCUCGUGAAUUCAUCUCCGGGGGUAGAGCACUGUUUCGGCCAGGGGGCCAUCCCGGCUUACCAACCCGAUGCAAACUGCGAAUACCGGAGAAUGUUAUCACGGGAGACACACGGCGGGUGCUAACGUCCGUCGUGAAGAGGGAAACAACCCAGACCGCCAGCUAAGGUCCCAAAGUCAUGGUUAAGUGGGAAACGAUGUGGGAAGGCCCAGACAGCCAGGAUGUUGGCUUAGAAGCAGCCAUCAUUUAAAGAAAGCGUAAUAGCUCACUGGUCGAGUCGGCCUGCGCGGAAGAUGUAACGGGGCUAAACCAUGCACCGAAGCUGCGGCAGCGACACUAAGUGUUGUUGGGUAGGGGAGCGUUCUGUAAGCCUGCGAAGGUGGCCUGUGAGGGUUGCUGGAGGUAUCAGAAGUGCGAAUGCUGACAUAAGUAACGAUAAUGCGGGUGAAAAACCCGCACGCCGGAAGACCAAGGGUUCCUGUCCAACGUUAAUCGGGGCAGGGUGAGUCGACCCCUAAGGCGAGGCCGAAAGGCGUAGUCGAUGGGAAACGGGUUAAUAUUCCCGUACCUGGUGUUACUGCGAAGGGGGGACGGAGAAGGCUAUGUUGGCCGGGCGACGGUUGUCCCGGUUUAAGCGUGUAGGCUGGUUUUCCAGGCAAAUCCGGAAAAUCAAGGCUGAGGCGUGACGACGAGGCACUACGGUGCUGAAGCAACAAAUGCCCUGCUUCCAGGAAAAGCCUCUAAGCCUCAGGUAACAUCAGAUCGUACCCGAAACCGACACAGGUGGUCAGGUAGAGAAUACCAAGGCGCUUGAGAGAACCCGGGUGAAGGAACUAGGCAAAAUGGUGCCGUAACUUCGGGAGAAGGCACGCUGACACGUAGGUGAAGCGGUUUACCCGUGAAGCUGAAGUCAGUCGAAGAUACCAGCUGGCUGCAACUGUUUAUUAAAAACACAGCACUGUGCAAACACGAAAGUGGACGUAUACGGUGUGACGCCUGCCCGGUGCCGGAAGGUUAAUUGAUGGGGUCAGCGCAAGCGAAGCUCCUGAUCGAAGCCCCGGUAAACGGCGGCCGUAACUAUAACGGUCCUAAGGUAGCGAAAUUCCUUGUCGGGUAAGUUCCGACCUGCACGAAUGGCGUAAUGAUGGCCAGGCUGUCUCCACCCGGGACUCAGUGAAAUUGAACUCGCUGUGAAGAUGCAGUGUACCCGCGGCAAGACGGAAAGACCCCGUGAACCUUUACUAUAGCUUGACACUGAACACUGGUCCUUGAUGUGCAGGAUAGGUGGGAGGCUUUGAAGUGUGGACGCCAGUCUGCAUGGAGCCGUCCUUGAAAUACCACCCUUUAAUGGCUGGUGUUCUAACGUAGACCCGUGAACCGGGUUGCGGACAGUGUCUGGUGGGUAGUUUGACUGGGGCGGUCUCCUCCUAAAGCGUAACGGAGGAGCACGAAGGUUGGCUAAUCCUGGUCGGACAUCAGGAGGUUAGUGCAAUGGCAUAAGCCAGCUUGACUGCGAGCGUGACGGCGCGAGCAGGUGCGAAAGCAGGUCAUAGUGAUCCGGUGGUUCUGAAUGGAAGGGCCAUCGCUCAACGGAUAAAAGGUACUCCGGGGAUAACAGGCUGAUACCGCCCAAGAGUUCAUAUCGACGGCGGUGUUUGGCACCUCGAUGUCGGCUCAUCACAUCCUGGGGCUGAAGUAGGUCCCAAGGGUAUGGCUGUUCGCCAUUUAAAGUGGUACGCGAGCUGGGUUUAGAACGUCGUGAGACAGUUCGGUCCCUAUCUGCCGUGGGCGCUGGAAGAUUGAGGGGGGCUGCUCCUAGUACGAGAGGACCGGAGUGGACGCAUCACUGGUGUUCGGGUUGUCAUGCCAAUGGCACUGCCCGGUAGCUAAAUGCGGAAAAGAUAAGUGCUGAAAGCAUCUAAGCACGAAACUUGCCCCGAGAUGAGUCUUCCCUGAGACUUUGAGUCUCCUGAAGGAACGUUAAAGACGAUGACGUUGAUAGGCCGGGUGUGUAAGCGCAGCGAUGCGUUGAGCUAACCGGUACUAAUGAACCGUGAGGCUUAACCUUACAACGCCGAAG
rnacentral:rRNA from 1 species